AGCGCUCACCUGGCUGGUACCAAGAAGGUUCAGGAAGUGCUCGCCAGACCUGGAGUCCUGGAGAGGUUCUUCCCGGACCAGCCUCAAGCUGUGCAGCAGAUCUGAGCGACAUUGGCUGACCUCUACACUCUAGACAUGGGUGCAGAGAGGGACAAAACAGUAUCAAUGGCCUUGGCAGCAGCAGAACGGUUUGUCUUGAAGCCUCAGUGAGAAGGAGGAGGCAGGGUAAAGACAUGGUGAUAAAUGAGUGUGUGGGCCAUCUGCUGAGGACCAAGAACUCAGGACACUCAGACGGGGGCGUCGCAGCAGGAGUCACCGUGCUCCACAAUGCUCUGCUGUCCUGAGAUUUCACACUCCUGCCUGCACAUACAAACCACAGUGAAGUCAAAGUUCCACCUGCACCUCCACCUGUUCUUGCAGCAACAUGAAAACUGACAGAGGUGAGACAGCACAAGAGUUUUUGUUUAUUUUUGUAAUACGUUAAGGAAUUAAGUGAAGAACAGUGAUUAAUUAAAUUGUUUCUUGCAUUUUUGAUUUAAUGAUUGUGUUUAGGAUUAUUUCAGAAACAUGUUUAGAGGAUCUUUGUAAGCCUGUAUUUCCUUUAAAAGAAGGGAAGCACUUCUUCAUUCUACAGAAAAGGUGACACAUUACAGAUGAGUUCAUAAAAAGUGUCACUGUCACUCUUUCAAGGCUCUGUCACUUUUUCUUUUUUACUGGAACAGCAUGGUAAAGUAGGCCUAGGGUGCCAUCUUGUGGCAGUGUGUUGUUACUACAACAUAUGAAAUUGUGUUUCUAUUGGAAAUAUAAUUCAGCGUCACCGAGCCGCUCUCUCAGUUACAAACUGAACCUGUUUUUUUAGACAUAUAAAUCACUAAGCACAGUGAAGCUUUUGGUUUUGUCAAAGUGUUUCUUAUUCAAAAUGCAUGUUGAUUUUUAUAAGGUUGAAGAGCAGUUAGCAGUGCAUUCAUGGACAUCUUUAAACUAUUAAUUGAAGAAUCUUUGGUCAUGAUGGCAUGAACUAGAAACGUGAGCUCCAGGUGAGACUGCACAGAAGAACAAGUGUCCUUAAACUGCAUCAGCUGAUGACUUCUUACAAUUUUACUCUUAUUCUAAUCUUAAUGUUUGGUUUAUUUCGGUGUUUUAUUUGUUCCUGAGCAAAUCAGUUUGGCUGAGAUUAAAGUUCAGCUUCAUAACCAGACUGUUUUAUUUAAUUUUAAAGUCUUACUUGGAGAGCUGUCAGUAGAUUUUAAACUGAAUAUUUCACCUGUCGUAUCUCCUGAUGAAAAAUGUUCUCUUCUAAUGUAAACAGCUGACUCUGAAUUACAUUUAACAU